UACGUAGGGUGCAAGCGUUAUCCGGAAUUAUUGGGCGUAAAGAGCUCGUAGGCGGUUUGUCGCGUCUGCUGUGAAAACUGGGGCUCAACCCCAGCCUGCAGUGGGUACGGGCAGACUAGAGUGCGGUAGGGGAGAUUGGAAUUCCUGGUGUAGCGGUGGAAUGCGCAGAUAUCAGGAGGAACACCGGUAGCGGAAGGCGGAUCU
rnacentral:rRNA from 1 species